rnacentral:rRNA from 1 species
UGGGGGACCUUCGGGCCUCACGCGAUGAGAUGAGCCGAUGCCGGAUUAGCUAGUUGGCGGGGUAAAGGCCCACCAAGGCGACGAUCCGUAGCUGGUCUGAGAGGAUGAUCAGCCACACUGGAACUGAGACACGGUCCAGACUCCUACGGGAGGCAGCAGGUGGGGAAUAUUGGACAAUGGGGGCAACCCUGAUCCAGCCAUGCCGCGUGUGUGAAGAAGGCCUUCGGGUUGUAAAGCACUUUUGUUGGGGAAGAAACCGGCCGGGUUAAUACCCUGGUUGAAUGACGGUACCCAAAGAAUAAGCACCGGCUAACUUCGUG